UGUGCCACGAGCAUGAAUUCUAACCACAAGUUGCCAAUUUACACCUUCGACCUUUCUCUCAACAUCAUCCAAAUUUCGAUGUGGUCUGUGAACGUAAGAACACAGACCACAUUCUUACGGAUAACUCUGAAUUCCCAUUUUAAUCAUUAAGUGUGAAGUAAAAUGAAACAGUAAAAAUAUUCGACAAGUACCAAGAGAACAAAACUCCAAUCUUGUUUCGGCAUACGCCCACCAGACUACAGCCCAAAAUGGACUCCAUCGUGGUUUCAAGAAUUCAAAAAUAAAUUUCCUUAACUUUCCACCCUACCUCCUAUUCGGGCAAAUGCACUCCUAUCGCAAAAGAGAAAAGAAAGAAAAAAGAAAGACAUUUCCAGUUGCUAAAGUUUAAAUUCCAUUUGAAGUUGGCAAAUAGCCUCGCUUAACCGAACAAGGAUUAAUUUGAAAUGGAUGCUGGAACCGUUAGUACUCUUGCACCAGACUGAUUGACGUAUCAUUGUUUUUCAUAAACAAAGUAGGUGAGGGUCGUCAAACAGUCUCGUGAUUCGACACAACUACCGUCUUUUCGCGAAUACUUCCCCAAUUCGAACCGGUUUACACCGUUGUAUCAUCCAUUACACCAUAGUAUUUGGCUACGACCUUCAGUUCACAUUCGUCAGAGUUCCGGAAAUAUGUAUGUUAGUCCCGAACUCCUUCCUGGUAAUAAAAUCUUCGCUGUAGCUGUUGGACUGUUCCGAGGAUGGCAAAUGAGUUUUAUUGAGGAAAAAUCGAAGCGUCUACAAGUCAGACAUUUGCACGUGGAGAAAAAUGGAUGAGAUUAUUUCAUCAGACGACAGUGGUGCAUGGCGGUAACCUGAAUCCAAGCUUUCCACAGGUAAACAAUAAGAAGCAAGAGGUUGUUUAAUUUUGAAGGUAUCCACAUAUUUCACACUAAAGCAAAUGACAGCAAGUUCUGGAAAACAGAUUUUUACGUCUGUAAUUUCAUUCCAGAAGGGAUUUAACCCGUUACCAUUCAUCAAGUCGUUUGGGGAGAUUCUGGACGCUAAUGAUCCGCAACUGUAACAUUUUACUUGAUUUGCACGACGACGGAAUCCUUGCAAUUUUACCGAGCAGCCAAUCCGGAGUCUGAAAAUUUAACGCCACCAUUUGGCAUCCAAAAUUCCAGUAAUAGACUGGACUGAAAUUACUGGAUGCUAUUCGUGUAGCGGUGGGAUAAACUCGGAUCAUUGUUUGGGAUGUGGGUUUCAGCCGCGUUUCUUUAGGUAAUUUUUUCAGGUAGGUUGUUGCUUCUAUUUCUGACAUUGAGACGACGGAAUAGCACGGCGUAGUAUGCCCAACCUUUUGGCCUUCCAUCUUUUCAAAGUUGGGGAACGAUUUACAAAAGUUAAUGAGACACUGCAGGGCAGGAGAGCAGACUUUGGCUCCGGUGACCUUUAUAAUAAUUUUCCCACGAAGUUGAUUAGGCGAAAGGAGUGACGCUUUGUUUCCUGCAUUUUCUUCGACAGCCCAAAACAGAGCAGGACCGAAAAUUUGGCGUAAAUCUUGCGCGAAAAUAGUUUGCUGUGAACGUGACAAGUGAUUCUCCGCCGACAAAAUCAAGGGGAAAGGAGAGAAUUUAAACGCAAAAGACUAUAGGUUGACUGUUUGGACCAUCCCAAAGAUCUUUGAGAAAAUUUGACAACAAUUAAUGAGUUACACACCAGGAAGUGUAGCAAGUCACAAGGUUUACCUAGUUCAAGGCACCGGCAACCACGCUCCAAAGCGGAAGCG
rnacentral:lncRNA from 1 species